GGCUCAGGAUGAACGCUGGCGGUAUGCUUUACACAUGCAAGUCGUACGGGAGUUUUUAACUCAAGUGGCGGACGGGUGAGUAACACGUAAGAAUUUGCCUUUAGGAGGGGGACAACAACUGGAAACGGUUGCUAAUACCCCAUAUGCUUUCGAGUGAAACGGAUUUUUCCGCCUAAAGAGAAGCUUGCGGCUGAUUAGCUUGUUGGUAAGGUAAUGGCUUACCAAGGCGACGAUCAGUAUCUGGUUUGAGAGGACGAUCAGACACACCGGAACUGAGACACGGUCCAGACUCCUACGGGAGGCAGCAGUGGGGAAUUUUCCGCAAUGGGCGAAAGCCUGACGGAGCAAUACCGCGUGAGGGAUGACGGCCUAUGGGUUGUAAACCUCUUUUUUCAGGGAGGAAUAAAAUGACGUGUACCUGAAGAAUAAGCAUCGGCUAACUCCGUGCCAGCAGCCGCGGUAAGACGGAGGAUGCAAGUGUUAUCCGGAAUCACUGGGCGUAAAGCGUCUGUAGGUGGUCAAAUAAGUCAACUGUUAAAUCUUGAGGCUCAACCUCAAAAUCGCAGUCGAAACUAUUAGACUAGAGUAUAGUAGGGGUAAAGGGAAUUUCCAGUGGAGCGGUGAAAUGCGUAGAUAUUGGAAAGAACACCGAUGGCGAAGGCACUUUACUGGGCUAUUACUAACACUCAGAGACGAAAGCUAGGGUAGCAAAUGGGAUUAGAUACCCCAGUAGUCCUAGCUGUAAACAAUGUAUACUAGAUGUUGGACAGAUCGACCUGUGCAGUAUCAAAGCUAACGCGUUAAGUAUCCCGCCUGGGAAGUAUGCUCGCAAGAGUGAAACUCAAAG
rnacentral:rRNA from 1 species